rnacentral:lncRNA from 1 species
AGAUGAUUUACACAGCCUAGCGUGAUCAGGAGCCCCCUAAUAAGCUGCUCCCGAUUGUAAUAUAGACACAGUAAUGUACGCCUGCAGGCGGACUCCCACCUUCCUCGUUACUCUUGAGGUUUGAGAUUCCCUGUUUGUGUCUGCAGGAUUCAGAUAGUGUGAGUAUAGUCUGUGUUCCUGUGUCGAAAUUCUUCUUUUACUUUCAUAAAAACAGGGUAGGAAAGCUUUCUGGGGCUGGUGAGAUGGCUCAGAGGUUGAGAGCACUGGCUGUUCUCCCUGAUGUCCUGAGCUCAAUUCCCAGCAACCCAUGGUGGCUCACAACCAUCUGUAAGGGCUCUGAUACACUCUUCUGGU